rnacentral:tmRNA from 1 species
GGGGGCGAUCUGGCUUCGACCGGGCAAGUUGAGGAGACGGUGGCGUGCCGAGGUUGUCAGGCGGCCUCGUAAAACACCUGGCAAAAACGUUACAUGCCAACCCUGAGUUGCGCAUGGCUGCCUAACUAGUGCAGCCCGUCAAACCGCCAACGCCUGCUAGGCGGGGCGACGGUGAUUAGCAGGCUGGCCGGUUCCCGCUGCUCGGCCGGGAGCCGGUGAGAAAACAGUCGGGCUGGACGCCGCCGGAGCCUGUCGACCGGCGCCGGCGGCGUUGACGACAAACGAUCGACUACGCACGUAGAGGCCGUUUCUGAAGUGCUUCGGGACGCGGGUUCGAUUCCCGCCGCCUCCAUUC